CCACACAGGAAGGUCACACCAUCCCUCGCCAUUACAAGUGGGAAGAUCCAGUAGAUAUAGAAUUUGAAGU